rnacentral:rRNA from 1 species
UACAGAGGGUGCAAGCGUUAAUCGGAAUUACUGGGCGUAAAGCGCGCGUAGGUGGUUCGUUAAGUUGGAUGUGAAAUCCCCGGGCUCAACCUGGGAACUGCAUUCAAAACUGUCGAGCUAGAGUAUGGUAGAGGGUGGUGGAAUUUCCUGUGUAGCGGUGAAAUGCGUAGAUAUAGGAAGGAUCUCCUGAGGAGAAGGCGACCACCGGGACUGACACUGACGCUGAGGUGCGAAAGCGUGGGGAGCGAACGGG